rnacentral:rRNA from 1 species
UACGGAGGGGGCGAGCGUUAUUCGGAAUUAUUGGGCGUAAAGGGCGCGUAGGCGGCUUUGCAAGUCAAAGGUGAAAUCCCUCGGCUCAACUGAGGAACUGCCUUUGAAACUGUGAGGCUUGAGUCCGGGAGGGGGUAGCGGAAUUCCCAGUGUAGCGUUGAAAUGCGUAGAUAUUGGGAGGAACACCAGUGGCGAAGGCGGCUACCUGGACCGGAACUGACGCUGAUGCGCGAAAGCGUGGGUAGCAAACAGG